rnacentral:rRNA from 1 species
UACGUAGGUGGCAAGCGUUGUCCGGAUUUACUGGGCGUAAAGAGCGCGCAGGCGGUCGUCCAAGUCGCGUGUGAAAGCCCCCCGGCUCAACUGGGGAGGGUCACGCGAUACUGAUCGACUCGAAGGCAGGAGAGGGAAGUGGAAUUCCCGGUGUAGUGGUGAAAUGCGUAGAUAUCGGGAGGAACACCAGUGGCGAAGGCGACUUCCUGGCCUGUUCUUGACGCUGAGGCGCGAAAGCUAGGGGAGCAAACGGG